CGUUGAUACUUGCUGGAGAUAAAUCAAAUUUAAUAGUGUACAAUGUACUUUCAAGUUACACUUAUUUUGUGUAAACAAGCUCUAACAACAACAAUGUUUAUGCUUGCGCCAUGCAGCAAAGUGAUUAGAGUACGUCAACAGGGUUUGACAAAAUUUCAACAUGUACUUUCCAGAACAACACAAAACAUAAAACUGCUACCACAUAAAUAGAGAAUUAAAAAGAUGGAUGGAAGAAAAGCAAGUCCCAUCCGAAAAAAGAAGGAUGAACUACAAGUGCUUAUCCUUGAAGCUUAUUGGUCCCAAAUGAAAUUGUGCAAACCAUAAGUCCAAGCAAAGCCAAGAAUCCAUAUUUCCUGCACAUGAAUUAUUAAAAAUGACAUUAAAUGCAUGUAUAAAUCAUCAAAAUUAACUAGGAUUGUUCCAUUAAACUUAAUAAAUACAUCCAAGAUUCACUUUAGCCAAACACUUCUCAAUCAAAUUCAUACCCUUUUAAUCAAUGAAAAUACCAGUAAGAGAACUAAACAAAGUUGUCUGCAAUUCAUAUAGGAAAUAAGAAUUAAUAGACUUUUGAGUAAAAAAAAAAUCAAAAACUCUAAGAAAAAAGUUAUUUCCUCUGUCGCACAAUUCCCAUUAAAGGCUUUCCUAUCAAAUUUCAAUUUGAACUACUUUUAUAGAGCCACCAAGUACAUAAUUUUGUAAUUCACUGGACAAGUAUCCUAAUUUCUUUCCUUCUCAUAUUUCUCAUAUGGGCAUCUAGAUAGAUAUGUGCUUCUUUUCUCACAAAUCGAGCCAAUAGCAAAUCAUUCCUUUCUCUAACAUUCCUUAAAUAAGAUACAAAUGCAGAGCUCAAGAAACGACCAUCCUAUUUGUCUAAAAAAUUAAAUGAAUAUGAUUUGGAUCUAAAAGAAACAAAAAGAACCACACCCACAAUUUACUCAAAUCGAAAAAUUGAAGACUAGUACCAGCGAGUAGAGAUGGUAACAGAGACGAAGCAAAGAGCAGCAUGAGCAGUAGUCCAAAUUGAGUAGAGAUGGAGCAACAACAACGGAGACGGAGCAACAAUAGUAGCAGAGAUGGAGCAGCAGUCGAUUUUGGGCACGGAGAGAGAGAGUGGUGACGGUGGAUUGCGGUUGACAAACGAGUAAUAGCCACCGAGAGUGAGAGAGCUAUGAAGUAGACUUGGAUGAAGAGGGAGGAGACAGAGAGAUCUGUACACAGUUCAGGUGGGUUGUGGUUGAAGGAGAAGUAUGACAGCCACGAAGAAGGGAGAGCUGUGAAGAGAUGACGAGAGCGAGGGGAUAAGAUUUCGA
rnacentral:lncRNA from 1 species